rnacentral:rRNA from 1 species
AUUGAACGCUGGCGGCAGGCCUAACACAUGCAAGUCGAACGAGUGGCGGACGGGUGAGUAAUGUCUGGGAAACUGCCUGAUGGAGGGGGCUAACUACUGGAAACGGUCGCUAAUACCGCAUACCAUCGGAUGAGCCCAGAUGGGAUUAGCUAGUUGGUGGGGUAAUGGCUAACCUAGGCGACGAUCCCUAGCUGGUCUGAGAGGAUGACCAGCCACACCGGAACGGAGACACGGUCCAGACUCCUACGGGAGGCAGCAGUGGGGAAUAUUGCGCAAUGGGCGCAAGCCUGAUGCAGCCAUGCCGCGUGUAUGAAGAAGGCCUUCGGGUUGUAAAGUACUUUCAGUGGGGAGGCGUUAACCGCAGAAGAAGCACCGGCUAACUCCGUGCCAGCAGCGGCGGUAAUAC